rnacentral:rRNA from 1 species
CCUACGGGGUGCAGCAGUAGGGAAUAUUGCUCAAUGGGGGAAACCCUGAAGCAGCAACGCCGCGUGGAGGAUGAAGGUCUUCGGAUCGUAAACCUCUGUCAGCAGGGAAGAACGGUCACUGUGCUAAUCAGCAGUGAAUUGACGGUACCUGCAAAGGAAGCACCGGCUAACUCCGUGCCAGCAGCCGCGGUAAUACGGAGGGUGCGAGCGUUAAUCGGAAUUACUGGGCGUAAAGCGCUCGUAGGCGGUAUGUCAAGUCAAGGGUGAAAUCCCCGCGCUCAACGUGGGAACUGCCUUUGAAACUGGCAAACUGGAGUGUGUGAGAGGAUAGUGGAAUUCCAGGUGUAGGAGGGAAAUCCGUAGAUAUCUGGAGGAACAUCAGUGGCGAAGGCGACUAUCUGGCACAUAACUGACGCUGAGGAGCGAAAGCGUGGGUAGCAAACAGGAUUAGAUACCCGAGUAGUC